rnacentral:lncRNA from 1 species
UCGGUAUGAGUAAGACCAUGUGGAUAUUUUGUGGGAUACUUUUAUAUAAGAAUGUUCGUUUGAUUCAAUAUGCGGUAUUUGCGCAUCCGGGUUUCUUAUCACGAAUGACACUACUUCCUGAGUGAGCACGUGUUUCCACAAGAACUGAGUGCAAGACUAAAUGAAACUUUGACAUAGAUAUAUAUUUUCUAUUCUACUUGGGUACAAUAUAUAUAUAUGGAAUGAGAUACAUGUUUAAUAGUAUGUUAAUACAUUACUAAUUAAUAGAAAAAUAGAUAUAUGAUAUGAUAUAAAAUAUAUGUGCAGGCCGACUCCAUGAGAAGGGAGAAGAAACUAAUUACCUUUUCCCGUUAUGGCUUAUGGCUUCGGGAAAUCUGACCUCUCCCUGACCCACGAAGCGGAGGGAAUUCAGUCUCCUGGUCGCGACCGGAUCUAUUUUGGUUUUCAGUCGGCCAGAGGAUCUGUGUAGUCGGGGUUGUUGUCGAUAUGCUCGUCGUUGUGGCCACCUCAGUUUGCGUUUGUUCUUCGGAUCUGUCGGAGUUUUCUAACGGAUGUGAUAACCAGGCGCUUAGACUUAUUUUACUCUGUCGGUGAAACGAUUCAAUAACAGGUUUCAGAGAUCUGGGGUAGGAAUAUCCCAUAGGGAUGAGGAUGGCUACCUUAGAUUUUCCCUCAGUGUCCCUUUUCCUCUUCUUCCCGUAUUCCAGAGCAUACUCUAGGGCUUCGAGAUCUGCGAAGAGGGACAGACGUGUAGAAUGGUUGUCCAUCUCGGAAGAGGGUAGAGGAGAAUCCCAUCUAUCCAUAAGAUAUGCAUCAUUUAAAUAUUCGGUCAUUAUAUUAUACCUGUUCAUAAUAAAUUUGUUCUUAGGGUAGUUCGGAGUUUAAAUUAAAAUUAUUAAAAUAUAAAAAUUGAAAAUGGAAAAUGGAAAAGAGAUUAAGGCUUAAUUAAAAUGGUCGUAGGAAGAUUUUCUUGGAUCAUGUAUAAUUUGAUGUCAUCUUCAUAUAGUCUAACGCCUUGGUUUUCGUCG